rnacentral:rRNA from 1 species
GACGAACGCUGGCGGCGUGCUUAACACAUGCAAGUCGAACGGAAAGGCCCUGCUUUUGUGGGGUGCUCGAGUGGCGAACGGGUGAGUAACACGUGAGUAACCUGCCCUUGACUUUGGGAUAACUUCAGGAAACUGGGGCUAAUACCGGAUAGGAGCUCCUGCUGCAUGGUGGGGGUUGGAAAGUUUCGGCGGUUGUGGAUGGACUCGCGGCUUAUCAGCUUGUUGGUGGGGUAGUGGCUUACCAAGGGUUUGACGGGUAGCCGGCCUGAGAGGGUGACCGGCCACAUUGGGACUGCGAUACGGACCAGACUCCUACGGGAGGCAGCAGUGGGGAACAUUGCACAAUGGGCGGAAGCCUGAUGCAGAGGCGCCGCGUGCGGGAUGACGGCCUUCGGGUUGUAAACCGCUUUCGCCUGUGACGAAGCGUGAGUGACGGUAAUGGGUAAAGAAGCACCGGCUAACUACGUG